UACGGAAGGGGCAAGCGUUGUUCGGAAUCAUUGGGCGUAAAGGGCGCGUAGGUGGUUUUGUGUGUCUACCGUGAAAGCAUACAGCUCAACUGUAUUUUGUCGGUAGAAACUGCAGGACUUUGAGGCUGGGGAGGGGCGUGGUGGGAAAUUUCCCCUGUGUAGCGGUGGAAAAUGCGUUAGAGAUGGGGGGAGAACACUCGUGGCGAAGGCGGCCAGCUAGACCAGUUCUGACACUGAGGCGCGACAGCGUGGGGAGCAAACAGG
rnacentral:rRNA from 1 species